GAUGAACGCUGGCGGCGUGCCUAACACAUGCAAGUCGAGCGUGAUUUAUGAGGACGAAACUUCGGUCUAGGAAUCAUAAUGAAAGCGGCGGACGGGUGAGUAACGCGUAGGCAACCUGCCCUUGACACAGGGAUAGCCUCGGGAAACCGGGAUUAAAACCUGAUAACGCCAAAGAGUCACAUGGCUAUUGGGCCAAAGAUUUAUCGGUCAAGGAUGGGCCUGCGUCUGAUUAGUUAGUUGGUGGGGUAACGGCCUACCAAGACGACGAUCAGUAGCCGACCUGAGAGGGUGAUCGGCCACAUUGGAACUGAGACACGGUCCAAACUCCUACGGGAGGCAGCAGUGGGGAAUAUUGCACAAUGGGCGAAAGCCUGAUGCAGCAACGCCGCGUGAGCGAUGAAGGCCUUUGGGUCGUAAAGCUCUGUCCUUGGGGAAGAAACAAAUGACGGUACCCAAGGAGGAAGCCCCGGCUAACUACGUGCCAGCCGCCGCGUAAAAC
rnacentral:rRNA from 1 species